UCGACGAGUUUGAUCCUGGCUCAGAAUCAACGCUGGCGGCGUGCCUCAGACAUGCAAGUCGAACGAUUAAAGCUCUCUUCGGAGAGUGCAUAGAGUGGCGCACGGGUGAGUAACACGUAAGUAAUCUACCUUCGAGUGGGGAAUAACGUCCGGAAACGGGCGCUAAUACCGCAUAAUGCAGCGGCAUCGCAAGAUGACAGUUGUUAAAGGAGCAAUCCGCUUGAAGAGGAGCUUGCGGCAGAUUAGCUAGUUGGUAGGGUAAUGGCCUACCAAGGCUACGAUCUGUAACCGGUCUUAGAGGACGGUCGGUCACACUGACACUGAAUAACGGGUCAGACUCCUACGGGAGGCAGCAGUCGGGAAUUUUGGGCAAUGGGGGAAACCCUGACCCAGCAACGCCGCGUGAAGGAUGAAGUAUUUCGGUAUGUAAACUUCGAAAGAAUAGGAAGAAUUAAUGACGGUACUAUUUAUAAGGUCCGGCUAACUACGGG
rnacentral:rRNA from 1 species